rnacentral:rRNA from 1 species
GACGAACGCUGGCGGCGUGCUUAACACAUGCAAGUCGAACGGUAAGGCCCUUCGGGGUACACGAGUGGCGAACGGGUGAGUAACACGUGGGUGAUCUGCCCUGCACUUUGGGAUAAGCCUGGGAAACUGGGUCUAAUACCGGAUAGGACCAUGGACUUCACGGUUUGUGGUGGAAAGCUUUUGCGGUGUGGGAUGGGCCCGCGGCCUAUCAGCUUGUUGGUGGGGUAAUGGCCUACCAAGGCGACGACGGGUAGCCGGCCUGAGAGGGUGUCCGGCCACACUGGGACUGAGAUACGGCCCAGACUCCUACGGGAGGCAGCAGUGGGGAAUAUUGCACAAUGGGCGCAAGCCUGAUGCAGCGACGCCGCGUGGGGGAUGACGGCCUUCGGGUUGUAAACCUCUUUCAGUACCGACGAAGCGAGAGUGACGGUAGGUACAGAAGAAGGACCGGCCAACUACGUGCCAGCCGCCGCCGUAAUAC